CUCUCCUGUGUGCUCCAGGAUGAUCAACAAUCCCCUGUAAAUCGGCUCGACCGCCGAGAUAUGAUCACAUCAUGUAGGGCUGCAUCGUAGUACGUGGAUGUAGGCACACACGUGCACGGGGAUGCGGUAAUAACGUCUCGCACCGGGUAAUGACUCGCUUAUUCGUGUGCGUGUCGGCCGUCACUCGGCUUGCGCAACAAUUCGUGCCCCGGGAUCUAUCGCGGAACGAGAUACCGUGCCCAUGGGGCAUCCUGCCGUCGCCCCCGAUAAUCCAUUGCCGUUUGGUCAUCGCCGAUGAUUGCAUUUAAGAGAAUCCAUACGCGAAACUCGAUUCCCGCAUUAACGUGAUUUGAGCCGCGCAUCAGCAGCGAGACUUUUGCCGCGCGUUUGCGCGCCCCUAUCCAGGAUCAAAGCGGCAAAAAUCGGUCGCUCGGCGCGACUCAAGCGAGACGCAAGCACGUAUUUUCUGAAUAAUCCCGCGAAAUAAUCGCCGCCUGACUGAUACGGAUAUGCAAAUGUUCCGCGAUGUAAAUACGCUUACGCACGGGGGAUGCACAAGGUGUGUCUCGCGAGACCGUGAUCCCGACGACGUUUCGGAUUACGAACUCGAAAGGGAAAGCCAUCCACGCCAAGAUCCCAUCUCAUUUCCGGAAGAGAUGGCAAAUACCGGAUAUGGACAAAUACCGAGUCGAUGCGUAACUGCCGUUCCGCAGUUAUGCACCAACGCAACUCGAUGCGGAGGAUGAUGAACGCAGCCGUACGUCGAAUGCAUUCUGGUGCACCUUGUUUGUCUUGGAACGGUUUUUUCCCCCGAUCGAGCCGCGGACCACCCCGAGUAGCACUGCGCGAACGGGUAAAUAAACCAACGGGAGGGAAAGGCCACCCCCGCUAGUUGGGGCGAUGUGUGUACGUGUGCGUGUGUUUUCAUGUCUUUUUACCGACUAAUAUUUAACAAAAUUCUCGUUAAAUAUUUUCGCGCGCCUCGUGGACGCGCGGCCGCGUGACGCACGCUUUAUAAAUAUUUAUGGAGCGCAAACAAUAUGCAUCAAACGUCCAAUAUGCACAUCCGAAUAAGCAAGAAUUUUAUAUUCAAGCAAAAAUUUGUGCGAGAGAAAGAGAGAGAGAGAACCCUUUGCGACUUGAACAUGAUUUUCUUCUUACGUAUGCAAAUUUACAACACCCUUAUCGCGGAGAUGUACUGCUGCUGGACGGUCACAUCCCUCGCCCCGUUAAUCGAUAUAAUUGUAGCAUUACGUCCGCGCCGACGAGAAAGAAUAACAGACGGCGGUACAGGUAUGGCAUUCUAAUGAAAGCAAUUACCAGAAAAUAUAUGCCUCUAAUUAGCCGGCUGCGAUUACGGACGCGUUGCAAAAAAACCACGAGUUGCCCUCGGGGAGAGGGUGGCACGAACCUCGGAGCCUCUCCGCCCGACGUAAAACUCUAUGAAUUCCGAUUCGCUCUAGAACGUGAUGUAAUAUCGGUACCGGUGUUUCCGGGGCUUCGCGAGUUUGCACUGACGUUAGUCGACCCCAAGAGCCACGUAGGUGCAGAAAUUUAUGAAUAUUAAUAAAAAUCUACAACGAAUCUUUCUCUCUCUCGCGUGGCAUAAUACGUAGUGAAUGUUUUAUGCGCUUGUAAAAAUCUGUUUAAUUUACUGCUGCACGUGCUUCAGAAAUAUGAUAUCCUCCUAUAUCAUGCCCCAUAGUUCACACCGGUUUCUCGGGGUGCAGGCAGCAUCGCGUUGCUUCGAAUUUUGCGCCGUGAGAUAACAUCACAUCGAGAUAAAAUCAAUCUUCGUCCAACGGAGGCCGGGCAAUCGGAGGAUCACAACCUCUCUUAGAUCCGGACGAUCCGUCAUGCAGCCACGUGUAUCGUGAUCGCUGUGCAUUAUCAAAACACGCACCCCGCAGCGGUGACGAGUAUCCGCGUGCAUAUUCCGCUGUCGUGGAAAGGCCUUCGAUCGACCGGGGAGUGAUUAACGGCGUUAUCGCGUGGAAUUUAUAAACCGAUUCGAUCUCGCCGAGAUUCACGGGGGUGAUGUAGGCCGAGCGCGGGGGUACGAGAUGCGAUACGCGCGCGCGUAACGCGCGCAGUGGAAGAGUUUGUGGGGCGAUGAACACGUCGUGCUUCCAAGCCCUUUCAAAAUAGUACAGCGGGUAAAGUUCGCAAUGGUAAUGCCGAGCUUGCCGAGUCGAGGGGGAUGAAAUCUCGCGCGGACGCGCGAGAUCGUCGCGCCGCGUCUCGCGCAUAAGCGAUUAAUUCCGCGCAAGGAAUUAAUUAGCCGCACGGUAAUUGAGCAAUUUGGAGCGUUGGGGAUAAAAAAGUGCGCAUUUUGCCGAAAGUUUCGCCGUUUCGAGAGAAUCACGCGGCAGUGAUUGCGUUAAAAGUACCUUCGAAUUGCAAACGUGUGGGAACGUGAAGUAGGGUCGAGAGAACGUGGAAAACUUUUAUUCUGCGGGCGUGCGAUUAUUUGUAUCGAAUAUUCAAACGAGGGUAAACGGGAGGAAGGAGGGAGAAAGGGUUAAUAAAAAUUGCCGUGCUUUCUUUACGUACACGAUGGCGUGAGGGAGAAGUGCGCGAUAUAAAGUAUCGGAGUAUCGACGGCUCCAUAGUGUAUAAUGUCAUUGCGAGUUUCUCUAAGCGCUGAUCAUCCCCUUUGUGCGGCCGCCUGUCCUUUCAGGGAAGAAAGCUUUUCCCGCCGGCCCUGAAAUUUCGCUUGAUAUUGCGCGCGGCGUGAUUAAAGCGCGGCGGAAAAUUAAAUUUUUUAGAGAGAAUUAACAGGUCGCGCAAGAGAAUUAAUUGGCGCGCAACCUACUACUCGCAACCCCUAUUUUCGAACAGCCAUUCUCUCUCUUUCUCUCUCUCUCUCUCUCAUACACACACACAUGCACAUAUAUGUGCGCACGUGAUAUUUUGCGAGAUAGCAGGAUGGACGCGUACGCAAUGCGCGCUACGCGACGUAUACAGCAAAUUAAUAAAUUAAUGAAUUGAUAAAUUGAUAGAUAAAUUCAACGAUAAUUCCGGCGCGCGGUACAAUUUAUCGCGAUGGAGUUUAUUAAGGGAGCGGACUGAUCAAUUUUACCGAUUCUUGCCAUUUUCCGGCGUUCGGGAAAUGGUCGGUCCCUUUUCCGAGAUACCGCAUUGCACCGCCAACGAAAUACAGUACUUUAAAACACAAUUGCAAGAUAUCGAUGGUAACAGAAGAAAAUCGUGUGUUAUGAAGAGCAAAGUGCACGUGUGCAUCAAAAGACCCAGUCUUUAAGCUUCCACCGUUCAUGUUUCGCGAACGAUCGCCCGUGCAAAUCGCAAGGCGGGAAAUAAAUUUGCGCCCGAUCCACGUGCAUAGCGGCACGCGAUCUCCCGCGCGUAGUCUCGUGCAUCAAAUUCCGCUCGUGUACAAUGCAAUGGAUAGUCUCGGCGGCAUUUGCCUAUUUGCAAGUCGCGACACGCUCAAAUCGCCACGACUCGAGAGUCAGGCUCGGGGCUUUGAUUAUAUUGCUUCGCCCGAUCGACCGAAGCGAGAGGUGGAUGGAUCCCUGGCCGUGCGCGACCGAGGGUGGCCACCAUCGUGCGCCGCACGGAAUUAGAAGUGCGUCAGCUCGGAAAAUUCGCUGCCGUUGCGUGGCUCUUCUGAAAAGCAAAA